rnacentral:lncRNA from 1 species
GUCUCAGCUCGAGCAUUCCUAGCGCCAACACGCCCUCAGGUAAAGGUGGAAGUAAAUGGCCACGCUGUAUUGACAGAGACAGGGACUGAGAAACGGAAAUACUACCAUCCUCCAGCCAAUCUGUUGGGAGGACUGCUUGCAGAGGACUCGUGCUCCAGAUGUUGCACUAGAGGCGCUGCAAGUGUGAGCAGCAGGUAGAUGAAACUCAAGAGAAAAGGUGUGGAUAAAUGAAACUAGCCCAUGAUGAACCUGUUUUCUCCGUGACCACAAUAUUAACCAGGAUGAAUGGCGGUGGCAGUGGGCCUGCAUCACAGGUUGCAGCAGAUGUUCUCAAUAUUUCUAUUAAAAUUUCCUUAUUUCCAUAUGCAAGAGGAGCCCCAGAGCUGCAUCCUUAUGGUAGCUACCAUGCCGUGAUGUAAGCUGCCAUUCACUGGGGAGCUUUGGCAAUAGAAUUGGCUAGAUCAGGAAGCCUAUGUCAACUAUGGAACAACAACUUGCAGCUCAUCUCUAUUGAUGAUACACUGCCUCUAGGACUGGGACAGAUAGCCACUGAGUACCUGCUUCAAAUCACCCUGCACGUUUUCUCUUUGGAAAGAUAAGCACUGGAGAACCAUCUCGUUACCUUCAGCAGAAAUGGAAACAAAUCAAGACAUUAAGAAUGCCGCAGUGGACAGCAGUUAUGCAAGGUUCAGCAGAGGAAGUUUUCAAGAUGGUGUGCCUCACUAGCCAGAAAUCAGAAAAGAUCGAAGCUAGCCUUUUCAUCUCAGCUGCUCCUUAAAUCAGUGCAACCCCUCCAAAUUAAUGUGAAUUGAAACUUGCAUUGCUUUUCAACUUAAUUGAAUACUUACUAUAUGUGAACCACUGCACAAAAUAGGGGAAGAAGAUGUGGGAGACAAAGAUGUGGAGCCUGUCUUCAAUAAAUUUACAGUUAGUUUCAGGGUACAUUGUUUUUCUUCUGCUGUUAAUUAGGUGUAUCCCCAAGACAAUAAAUACAUGAAUGGAAAAGUAUAUUCUGUGUUUUAAGUCUCUUUAAUAAAAAACAAAACAAAAUCCAAAAAAACUCCUAACAUGGCAACUCAGGACAUUUUAAUCCUUUUUUUUGUUGUUGGGCUUCUGAUAGGAUCCAUUUUAUUGAUUCCAUAAAUAUUUAGUAGACUUUAGACAUAUUAAUACAUUGUAGUUUGAGUUAAUUUGCAUUAAAUUCUGUUUUUUUCCCCUUAGGUAUAGAUUGUCUGUUGGAAAAAUAUAUUGCUUGUGGAUUUCUUGGGGAGUGGGAAGGUGAAUUAUACCUGUUGUCUCUACAGUCCACUACCUUCCACACCCUAGGGCAGUGGUCCCCAACCUUCUUGGCACCAGGGAUCAGUUUCCUGGAAGACAAUUUUUCUGUGGAUGGUGUGGGGAUGGUUUUGGGAUGGAACUGUUCCACCUCAGAUCAUCAGGCAUUAGUUAGGCUCUCAUAACGAGUGCGCAGCCUAGAUCCCUCACAUGCACAGUUCACAGUAGGGUUUGCGCUGCUAUGAGAAUCUAAGGCUGCCACUGAUCUGACAGGAGGCAGAACUCAGGUGGCAAUGCUUACUGGCCCACUGCUCACCUCUUGCUGUGCGGCCUGGUUCCUAAUAGGCCAUGGACCCCCACAGACGGGUACUAGUCUGCAGCCUGUGGACCCCAGCCCUAGGGGCCUGCCAUUCUGAGUGAGUUAUUAGCAUGAAGAAGAGGAAGAUCUGGAUCAAACGUGGGUGAUGGUACUCAGAGACCCAAGAUAGGAUAGGGAUGGAACAAAAUCCAUCUGGGCAACGGCUCUAUGAAAAUUUGGCUAAGUAAUUAUUUCAGUAUUCAUUGUAUUCAUUGUCCUUCGUGUUCCAUAAGUUAAAUGACUGUCUAAUUUUUCCAAAAAUUUAUUUCUGACUUGAGAAUAAGUGUGUCAUGAUUUUCCCAGUGUAAAGACACUGAUAUAACUGUAGAUACCAGACAUUUUAUGUAGUGUCUAUGACACAUUUUAGUAUGUAUGAGCCAACAAUAGACAUGUCUUUGUCUUGAGGAGUGUCCAUCUGAAUUGAAAAUGUGUCAGCUUUUUUUUAACAUCAUCAACAGACUUCUUAAUUAAGCUGCCAAUACAUACUGCCAAUAGCACUGUGUGCUGUCUGAGAAAUGCAUUGUGUAAGUGCUAUUUCCAUCUUAUUAAAUAAACAAUGUUGCUCUGUAUAAACUGGAUUUAAAGUGUUCUUUGAAUGAGGCAUUAUAUUGCUCCAUAAAUAAUGUGAUGUGAAUUCUCAUAUGAUCCCUUUUAACUUAAUUUCUAAAAAAAUAUUAUUUGCUCCUCAGUAAGGAAUAGCUCUAAUUGGACUGGUAACUUUAGUGAUAUGAUUUGUCUGUAACAGGCUGAAUCGCCCCACUCCCAAACUCCUGGUCGUGAUACUGGAUAUUUGUUAUGCCACUUUUAGUUUGCAUGAGGUAUCUUCCAGGAAGUAUUAGUUAUUAACUUGUGUUCUACUAAACUGUAGAUAUUUAUUUCCUGUUCUGGAAGAUUUCUUGGAGUGUCCAUCUGUGCAUUCCUGGUGCCUAGUGUAGUCUUGCUAAUGGAAUAGCACCUUUAUUGGUGCUACUUAGGGGUUGGUAGCUUACAAUCAAUCUACUUGGAACGUAUCCAAAUAAACUGGAUAUUUUUAUACA